rnacentral:rRNA from 1 species
GAGUUUGAUCAUGGCUCAGAUUGAACGCUGGCGGCAUGCCUUACACAUGCAAGUCGAACGGCGGCAUGAUCUAGCUUGCUAGAUUGAUGGCGAGUGGCGAACGGGUGAGUAAUACAUCGGAACGUGCCCUGUAGUGGGGGAUAACUAGUCGAAAGAUUAGCUAAUACCGCAUACGACCUGAGGGUGAAAGUGGGGGACCGCAAGGCCUCAUGCUAUAGGAGCGGCCGAUGUCUGAUUAGCUAGUUGGUGGGGUAAAGGCCCACCAAGGCGACGAUCAGUAGCUGGUCUGAGAGGACGAUCAGCCACACUGGGACUGAGACACGGCCCAGACUCCUACGGGAGGCAGCAGUGGGGAAUUUUGGACAAUGGGCGAAAGCCUGAUCCAGCAAUGCCGCGUGUGUGAAGAAGGCCUUCGGUGUAAGCACUUUGUCCGGUAGAG